CAGAUAUUAGUUUAUAUAAAAUUUUAAUUUUGGAGAUUAAAGAAAAUAGUUUAUUAUAUCUGA
rnacentral:tRNA from 1 species